rnacentral:rRNA from 1 species
AUUGAACGCUGGCGGCAUGCUUUACACAUGCAAGUCGAACGGUAACAGGUUAAGCUGACGAGUGGCGAACGGGUGAGUAAUGCAUCGGAACGUGCCCGGUCGUGGGGGAUAACGCAGCGAAAGCUGCGCUAAUACCGCAUACGAUCUGAGGAUGAAAGCGGGGGACCGUACGGCCUCGCGCGAUCGGAGCGGCCGAUGUCAGAUGAGGUAGUUGGUGGGGUAAAGGCUCACCAAGCCGACGAUCUGUAGCUGGUCUGAGAGGACGACCAGCCACACUGGGACUGAGACACGGCCCAGACUCCUACGGGAGGCAGCAGUGGGGAAUUUUGGACAAUGGGCGCAAGCCUGAUCCAGCAAUGCCGCGUGCAGGAAGAAGGCCUUCGGGUUGUAAACUGCUUUUGUACGGAGCGAAAAGGCUCUCUCUAAUACGGAGGGCUCAUGACGGUACCGUAAGAAUAAGCACCGGCUAACUACGUGCCAGCAGCCGCCGUAA